UACCCAGCAGCUAGCCCCACCCCCCAAUAACAACAACCCACUAUUAAUACCCCCAAAUAAACGAAUGUUAACCAAACAAACCAUUUUUCCCCCUGAGUAUGGGCGACAGAAAAGGGCCUAACGGAGCGAUAGAGAAAGUACCGCAAGGGAACGCUGAAAGAGAAAUGAAACAACCCAGUAAAGUCUGAAAAAGCAGAGAUUUAAACUCGUACCUUUUGCAUCAUGAUUUAGCCAGUGUUGUCCAAGCAAAACGUAUUUUAGUUUGACAUCCCGAAACUAGGGGAGCUACUCCAAGACAGCCUAAUCAAUAGGGCCAACCCGUCUCUGUGGCAAAAGAGUGGGAAGAGCUUCGAGUAGAAGUGACAGACUUACCGAACCUAGUUAUAGCUGGUUGCCUGGAAAUUGAAUAGAAGUUCAGCCUCCCGGCUUCUCCACUCCCCUCAGAACCCUCCCCAAUCUGACACCCAAAAGAGAAACCGAGAGAGUUAGUCAAAGGGGGCACAGCCCCUUUGAAAAAAGACACAACUUUUUAAGGAGGAUAAAGAUCAUACUAAACCAAAGGUAAAAUGUUUGGGUGGGCCUAAAAGCAGCCAUCCCCAUAGAAAGCGUUAAAGCUCAGACAUGUCCCACAACCCCACUAAUACGGACCAUUUAAUCUUAUUCCCCUACACCUACCAGGCCCUUCCAUGCCCACAUGGAAGAGACUAUGCUAAUAUGAGUAAUAAGAGAGCUCAAGGCUCUCUCCCCGCAAGCGUGUAAAUCGGAACGGACCCCCCGCCGACCAUUAACGGCCCCAAAGAAAGAGGGAAAUGAGCCUUAAAAACAACAACUAGAAAAGCCCCCAAAAUACUUACCGUUAACCCCACACAGGCCUGCCCCCAAGGAAAGACUAAAAAAAAGAGAAGGAACUCGGCAAACGCACUAGGCCUCGCCUGUUUACCAAAAACACCGCCUCUUGCAAGAUAAAAAUAAGAGGUCUCGCCUGCCCUGUGACUAUAAGUUUAACGGCCGCGGUAUUUUGACCGUGCGAAGGUAGCGCAAUCACUUGUCCUUUAAAUGAGGACCUGUAUGAAUGGCAUUACGAGGGCUGAACUGUCUCCUCUUUUAAGUCAAUGAAAUUGAUCUCCCCGUGCAGAAGCGGGGAUACUUCCAUAAGACGAGAAGACCCUAUGGAGCUUUAGACACCAAGGCAGCUCACGUCAAUAAGACCUAAAAUAAAGGACCAAACAAAAUGAGCCCUGCCCUACUGUCUUUGGUUGGGGCGACCGCGGGGAAAUAAUUAACCCCCAUGUGGAACGGGACAACCCGUCCUAAAACUAAGACCCGCAGGUCUAAGCAACAGAACUUCUGACCUACCAGAUCCGGCACCGCCGAUCAACGAACCGAGUUACCCUAGGGAUAACAGCGCAAUCCCCUUUUAGAGCCCAUAUCGACAAGGGGGUUUACGACCUCGAUGUUGGAUCAGGACAUCCUAAUGGUGCAACCGCUAUUAAGGGUUCGUUUGUUCAACGACUAAAGUCCUACGUGAUCUGAGUUCAGACCGGAGUAAUCCAGGUCAGUUUCUAUCUAUGAUAUGUUCUUUUUUAGUACGAAAGGACCGGAAAGAAGAGGCCCAUACCUCAGGCACGCCUCACCCCCACCUUAAAUGAAAUUAACUUAAACAGGCAACUGGGCAUAGCCCGCUGCCGUAAAAAACGGCAU
rnacentral:rRNA from 1 species